CAAAAUGGCAAUGGGUACCCGAAACCCGAGUACCCGACGGGUUUUACCCGAUAAGAACGCGGGUAUGGAAUGAAUUUUGUACCCGCGGGUACGUUGUUGGGUGAAAUCCUUUACCCAUCGGGUAUGGCGGGUACGGGUGUGGAAUAGUAGUACCCAUACCCGCGUAUCCGUGGGUAAGAAAUACCCGCAAAAUGAGUAAGCAACCUACGCAAUUUAGCCCAUAUAGCCCAUGAACUGAUUGGCUGAACGUGGGAAGUAUUGAGCGUCUGGUGUGCUACUAGUGCUACUAUUAAUUUGCUGGAAGUUGUUAUGUUUAAUUUCCUAUAAGUUGCGAUAUUUAACUUGCUGAAAGUUGUUAUAUUUCUAUUGAACUCGGGUAUAUUUUCGGGUAUGGAAUACCCGUCGGGUAAGAAUUACCCGUCGGGUGCGGGUACGGAAUGAAU
rnacentral:lncRNA from 1 species